rnacentral:tRNA from 1 species
GUUUCUGUAGUUGAAUUACAACGGUGGUUUUUCAUAUCAUUGGUUUCGGUUAAAGUCCGGUUAGAAAUU